AGUGAAUAGAUACCCCGGUAGUCCACGCCUUAAACGAUGGAUACUAGAUUUUGGUAGUAUCGACCCUAUCAGAAAUCGAAAGCUAAACGCGUUAAGUAUCCCACCUGGGGAUUACGGCCGCAAGGCUAAAACUCAAAGGAAUUGACGGGGACCCGCACAAGCGGUGGAGCAUGUGGUUUAAUUCGACGCUAAACGAAGAACCUUACCCAGGCUUGACAUCCAGCUGCAUAUAUCAGAAAUGAUAUAGCCUUCGAGGGUGCUGGACAGGUGCUGCAUGGUUGUCGUCAGCUCGUGUCGUGAGAUGUUGGGUUAAGUCCCGCAACGAGCGCAACCCUCAUUCUGUGUUGUAUUUUUCACAGAAGACCGCCCUGGUUAACAGGGAGGAAGGUGGGGACGACGUCAAAUCAGCAUGGCCCUUAUGCCUGGGGCCACACACGUGCUACAAU
rnacentral:rRNA from 1 species